AGGGAUAUAUUGUUAGCUCAUUGUGGUAUCUCGUUAAUUUGUUAUCUCCAAACUAACUAGUGAUGGUGAGAAGAAGGAUCAUUGCCAUCUGGAUCACCAUUGACUGGUACAAAGUGAAACUGUGGAUACUGGAGGAUUGCUGUGUACCUUCUGAAGAUGUAUCCUUUAUCAUGUAUCAUGAAGCAUAUCAUAUGCACAUAAGUGCUUUGCAAAUAUUCUCUCCCUGACUGUGACUUGCCUUUUCAUUUUCUCAACAGCAUCUUAUGAAGAGUAGAUGUCUUUAAUUUUAAUGAAAAGCAGUUGCUCAAUCUGUUCUUUUAUGGACCAUGCUUUUGUUUUGUUUUGUUUUGUUUUGUUUUGUUUUGUUUUGGUGUUGGGACAGGUGCGAAUUAAGAGGGCUUAUGCAAGGUGCUGAAAAAGUGAAGGAAGGUUAAUUCAUCCAAAAUUUUGUGAAAAGUUUGUACCAUAAGUUGUACUCCAGGGCCUAAAAUAUAUUACUUGAUGUGACUACACAGCAAGAGGUCAAUAAUUAGACUGUGACUAGAGUACUCGCUGUUCGUCUUUGUUAUGCUAUGUGUCUGAUUCCAGGGAAGCCAUAAGUAUUGAGGAGUUCCCUAUGCAUGGCAACUGGUGUCACCUACAAUCAAAUGUGUAGGGACGAUCAGAAGACCAACUCAAGAGAAAAGAGGAAAUACGACAUGCCUGUUAUUUACAUUAGUUAAGCAAGGGAGAAGUAUGUUUAUGCAAGCAACCCUCACCUGCAAAGACAAUUCAAGUCUUCAGGGGAAUUCAUGGAUCAAGAAAAAUAAUACAUUCUUCCCAUAUUAUAGAAUAUUUCCAUCACUAAAUAUAACUCAAUGCCAACUUCUGCAGUACCCAUC